CGAAAGCCUGACGGAGCAAUACCGCGUGGGGGAGGAAGGCCCUAGGGUUGUAAACCUCUUUUCUUAGGGAAGAACACUGACGGUACCUAAGGAAUCAGCAUCGGCUAACUCCGUGCCAGCAGCCGCGGUAAUACGGAGGAUGCAAGCGUUAUCCGGAAUGAUUGGGCGUAAAGCGUCCGUAGGUGGCCGCUUCAAGUCUGCUGUCAAAGACUGGGGCUUAACCCUGGAAAGGCAGUGGAAACUGAACAGCUAGAGUGCGAUAGGGGUAGAGGGAAUUCCUGGUGUAGCGGUGAAAUGCGUAGAGCUCAGGAAGAACACCGGUGGCGAAAGCGCUCUGCUAGGUCGCAACUGACACUGAUGGACGAAAGCUAGGGGAGCGAAUGGGAUUAGAUACCCCAGUAGUCCUAGCCGUAAACGAUGGAUACUAGGCGUUGAGAGUAUCGACCCUCUCAGUGCCGUAGCUAACGCGUUAAGUAUCCCGCCUGGGGAGUACGCUCGCAAGAGUGAAACUCAAAGGAAUUGACGGGGGCCCGCACAAGCGGUGGAGUAUGUGGUUUAAUUCGAUGCAACGCGAAGAACCUUACCAGGGCUUGACAUGUCCGGAAUCCUGCUGAAAGGUGGGAGUGCCUACGGGAGCCGGAACACAGGUGGUGCAUGGCUGUCGUCAGCUCGUGUCGUGAGAUGUUGGGUUAAGUCCCGCAACGAGCGCAACCCUCGUUCUUAGUUGCCAGCAUUAAGUUGGGCACUCUAGGGAGACUGCCGGUAACAAACCGGAGGAAGGUGGGGAUGACGUCAAGUCAGCAUGCCCCUUACGUCCUGGGCAACACACGUACUACAAUGCUGCGGACAAAGGGCAGCAAGCAUGCGAAUGCAAGCUAAUCUCAUAAACCGUGGCUCAGUUCAGAUCGCAGGCUGCAACUCGCCUGCGUGAAGGCGGAAUCGCUAGUAAUCCCAGAUCAGCACGCUGGGGUGAAUACGUUCCCGGGCCUUGUACACACCGCCCGUCACACCAUGGAAGCUGGCUACGCCCGAAGUCGUUACCCUAACCCUUGUGGAGGGGGACGCCGAAGGCAGGGCUGGUGACUGGGGUGAAGUCGUAACAAGGUAGCCGUACCGGAAGGUGUGGCUGGAUCACCUCCUUAACAGGGAGACCAACUUUAUCUAGACCGAAGCCAAGUAAUUACGUCAGAUAAAAGUCAUCCCAGGUCGGUCGGGAUUGGUGGCAACAAAAAUUUGAGGGCUUUCAAACUAUAUCUGGUUCGGAACCAAGAACCAAGCUCUGGCACAAUCCGUCCUGUAAAGUUCGGUUGUGCCCACACGGCAACUGUAAUUGGUGGUUAGAGUAGGAAAGUGCGGCAAUAAGGAUUGCCUUAAGGCAAUAAACUUAAAGCUUGAAAUUAAUCGGAUAAACUGUUUCAGCAUCAGGUGGCAGCAUCGCUUGAAUGCUGGAUUAGUGUCCAGUCAGAACCUUGAAAACUGCAUAGCAACUUGUCAAAAGCAAUUGUUAAAGCAUCAACAUCAGCGUUAAAGCUGGUAGUUGAAUGCAGAAAUUGCAGGUAGACACCAAUGUUUUUUAAGUGGUCAAGCUAAUACGGCUGAUGGUGGAUACCUAGGCACACAGAGGCGAAGAAGGACGUGGUUACCAACGAAAAGCUCCGGGGAGCUGGAAGCAAGCAUUGAGCCGGAGGUCUCCGAAUGGGGCAACCCGAUAUACAGCCUGUUGAACUGUGUAGACCGGUAGUGAGCCAGUACCGCGAGGGAAAGGUGAAAAGCACUCUUAGUAGCUGGAGUGAAAUAGAACAUGAAACCAUCAGCUUCCUCAAGUAGUGGUGAGCGAACGGGGAUUCAACGUCUAGACCGCGUCGCCUGUUGAUCGAAUGAGCUGGCGAGUUGUGGGACAGUGGUAUGGAAUCCUUAAGCUAGACGAUAGCUGCUGAAAACUGCACCAGAGAAGCGUAAUAGUCCUGUAGUCUGAAUAGUGGCAGGAUAUUAGUCACUGGUUAUAGACCCGAGUAGCCCGGGUGCAUCUAGACCAUGUCCCGUGAUGAAUCUGUGAGGUACCACCUCGUAAGGCUAGGUACCGCACCGACCGAUGUUGAAAAAUCGGCGGAUGAGGUGUGGUUAGGGGUGAAAUGCCAAUCGAACCCGGAGCUAGCUGGUUCUCCCCGAAAUGUGUUGAGGCGCAGCGGUUGAGGUUUAAAUCUGGGGGUAAAGCACUGUUUCGGUGCGGGCUGCUAACGCGGUACCAAAUCGAGACAAACUCACAAUACCAGAUGUACACUCAGCCAGUGAGACGGUGGGGGAUAAGCUUCAUCGUCGAAAGGGAAACAGCCCAGACCACCAGCUAAGGCCCCCAAAUUGUCACUGAGUGAUUAAGGAGGUGGGAGUGCAUUGACAACCAGGAGGUUUGCCUAGAAGCAGCAAUCCUUGAAAGAGUGCGUAAUAGCUCACUGGUCAAGCGCUCUUGCACCGAAAAUGAAUGGGGCUAAGUGACAUGCCG
rnacentral:sRNA from 1 species